AACCCUGGUCGCUUGUUUUGGGGAUGCGCUAAUUGAAAAGUGAGAAAUUGUGGAUUCUUCAAAUGAGUGUCUGAUGAA
rnacentral:pre_miRNA from 1 species